rnacentral:lncRNA from 1 species
UAUCUUCCUUUUCCGUUUCACUGAUACAAGCUCAAAUGACUCAGUUACAAGAGAAAUUAAAAGAAGAGAGAGAGAGGGUGACAGUCUCUUAGCUGGGCAGGAUUUGAGAUGCAGGCCCAGUGCAGUUUGUAGUACUGCCUUUCUCUCCCUCCCAAGUAACACAAAUGAUUGUGUGUCUCAUAACUCAAGAGUGCAGGAUGAAAGGAACAGUCAAAUAGACUUAGGAUUUUAGGUGCUGGAAGAUGUUCUUAUCCAAUUCUUUGUCAUCAGUGGUGCAUUUGACAAGUGUAGAGAAUGAAGACUAUGAGUAAAUGCUGUCCAGAUGGAGAAUGAGUUCCUCUUCCCCUUUUGUAGUGGGCUGUACUGAUCUAAAUAAGCUCUGUGAAUUGAGAAAGGUAUGCUCUCGGCUUGCCAACUUGCUCACUCUAAAGAAUGAGGGAUUCUUGGCCAGCGAGAGUUCCAGCACACCUUCCUAGGGCCAUGUGCCACAUUGUCAUUUGUUUCUGUUUCUGCUUAUCACCUUGAAGGUUGGCAUCAUUGCACAUACAGAUGAGGAAACUUGACAAGUGACAGGCUCAUGUUCUGUCUUGUCACUGUGCCCUGCUGCAUUGUUUUAUAAGUGAGCUACGAAGAUCUCAUUUAUCUACCCAUUGUCAUCAAGCAACCACUAAGAUGAUGAAUACGUAAUGAACCACACGCUGCAUUCAGUUUUGAGGAUACAGAGUUUCAUGAAGAUGUGGACUAGAGGUGGCAAGCCUCGAGCAGAAAUCUCUCCAUUUUUCAGCAAGCCUGUUCUUCCUGAAGGCCUGCCUAAGGUGCUAAUGUCCUUAGUCAUUGCACUGGGUAUAUUUGGAAAACAGCUGUACUCACUGGAAAGCCAGCCCUGAGAACUGGAAGGGAGAUCUGUAUACACACUGAACCCAGGGAUGGAACUACUGGCUACUGGAACUGAUAUUACCUUGGAGAACUACUUCCAGGUGACAGAUGUCAAGAAUUUCACAGACCAGAGAAUGGACUUCAGAGAGGACUCCUGAAACAGUAUUUGAUGGGAGAGGGGCUGGGAGUAGGGGUAGAGCAACUACCAGAAAGACUUCAUUUUGACACUUGGACGUUGAAAAUAGUUACGAUAUACUCGUUAUUUUAACAGGUGGAUUUUGAAAUCUAGAGGUGAGCUGUCAAUUACACAUCUUUGCUUUUCUUUGAAUCAGUUAGGACAGGGUGUGUUGUGUUCUUGUAACUUUUCAAAGUGUCUUGAUGAAGGGCUGAGGUUAGGGUUCAGUGAUAGAAUACUUGCCUCGCUGUGCAAGACCCUGAAUUUUAUGACCAGCACCAAAAAAGAAGAGGAACAGGAGAAGGGGGAGGAAGGAGGAGGGAGUAAUAAAGAGAAUCCAGACACAGAGAAAUUCA